AUACGGAGGGUGCAAGCGUUAUUCGGAAUCACUGGGCGUAAAGGACGCGUAGGCGGGUUGGCAAGUCAGAUGAGAAAUCCUACAGCUUAACUGUAGAACUGCAUUUGAAACUGCUAACCUAGAGUAUGGGAGGGGGAGAUGGAAUUAGUGGUGUAGGGGUAAAAUCCGUAGAUAUCACUAGGAAUACCGAAAGCGAAGGCGAUCUCCUGGAACAUAACUGACGCUAAGGCGUGAAAGCGUGGGGAGCAAACAGGAUUAGAUACCCUUGUAGUCC
rnacentral:rRNA from 1 species